rnacentral:rRNA from 1 species
ACGCUGGCGGCGUGCUUAACACAUGCAAGUCGAACGGGACUGAUUGAAAGCUUGACUUUUGAAAAGUCUAGUGGCAAACGGGUGAGUAACGCGUAGGCAACCUGCCUCUAAGAUGGGGACAACAGCCCGAAAGGGCUGCUAAUACCGAAUGUUGUAUCUUUUACCGCAUGGUGGAGAUAUUAAAGAUGGCCUCUACUGGUAAGCUAUCACUUAGAGAUGGGCCUGGCGUCUGAUUAGCUAGUUGGUGGGGUAACGGCUCACCAAGGCGAUGAUCAGUAGCCGGUCUGAGAGGAUGAACGGCCACAUUGGGACUGAGACACGGCCCAGACUCCUACGGGAGGCAGCAGUGGGGAAUCUUCCGCAAUGGGCGAAAGCCUGACGGAGCAACGCCGCGUGAAGUGAAGAAGGUCUUCGGAUCGUAAAGCUCUGUCGAAGGGGACGAACGUGGGUUCUAUCAACAACGGGACCUAAUGACGGUACCUUUCAAGAAAGCCACGGCUAACUACGUGCCAGCAGCUGC